GACAUGAGAGACCAGUCCAGAUCUAUCGAGCACAUGGAAUUAUUGCACAUCGGCCAAGCCUAAUGCCAGCCAUACGGGGUUGAGAGGCCUAAGGUUGAAGCACUUCAGCGAGGAGGAUGGUAAGUGUGUUUAUAGCCCAUUGCAUUGACCUUACUCGCAAAAGAAGCACCGCUAACUUCCGUGCCAGCAGCCGCGGUAAUACGGAGGGUGCAAGCUUUAAUCGGAAUUACUGGGCGUAAAGCGCACGCAGGCGGUUUGUUAGUCAGAUGUGAAAUCCCCCGCGCUUAACGUGGGAACUGCAUUUGAAACUGGCAAGCUAGAGUCUUGUAGAGGGGGGUAGAAUUCCAGGUGUAGCGGUGAAAUGCGUAGAGAUCUGGAGGAAUACCGGUGGCGAAGGCGGCCCCCCUGGACAAAGACUGACGCUCAGGUGCGAAAGCGUGGGGAGCAAACAGGAUUAGAUACCCUGGUAGUCCACGCUGUAAACGAUGUCGAUUUGGAGGUUGUGCCCUUGAGGCGUGGCUUCCGGAGCUAACGCGUUAAAUCGACCGCCUGGGGAGUACGGCCGCAAGGUUAAAACUCAAAUGAAUUGACGGGGGCCCGCACAAGCGGUGGAGCAUGUGGUUUAAUUCGAUGCAACGCGAAGAACCUUACCUACUCUUGACAUCCAGAGAAUUCGCUAGAGAUAGCUUAGUGCCUUCGGGAACUCUGAGACAGGUGCUGCAUGGCUGUCGUCAGCUCGUGUUGUGAAAUGUUGGGUUAAGUCCCGCAACGAGCGCAACCCUUAUCCUUUGUUGCCAGCGAUUCGGUCGGGAACUCAAAGGAGACUGCCGGUGAUAAACCGGAGGAAGGUGGGGAUGACGUCAAGUCAUCAUGGCCCUUACGAGUAGGGCUACACACGUGCUACAAUGGCGUAUACAAAGAGAAGCGAACUCGCGAGAGCAAGCGGACCUCAUAAAGUACGUCGUAGUCCGGAUUGGAGUCUGCAACUCGACUCCAUGAAGUCGGAAUCGCUAGUAAUCGUAGAUCAGAAUGCUACGGUGAAUACGUUCCCGGGCCUUGUACACACCGCCCGUCACACCAUGGGAGUGGGUUGCAAAAGAAGUAGGUAGCUUAACCUUCGGGAGGGCGCUACCACUAUGAGGAGAUUUCGUC
rnacentral:rRNA from 1 species